CGCCAUGAACAUUCCUGAUCACAUCUGGUUUUAGAAGCUAAGCAGGGUUG
rnacentral:rRNA from 1 species